GACGAACGCUGGCGGCGUGCUUAACACAUGCAAGUCGAACGGUGAAGCGCCUUCCUUUUUGGUGGGUGUGGAUGAGUGGCGAACGGGUGAGUAACACGUGAGUAACCUGCCCCCUUCUUCUGGAUAACCGCAUGAAAGUGUGGCUAAUACGGGAUAUUCUGGGUCUGUCGCAUGAUGGGUCUGGGAAAGAUAUUGUUUCGGUGGGGGAUGGGCUCGCGGCCUAUCAGCUUGUUGGUGGGGUGAUGGCCUACCAAGGCGGUGACGGGUAGCCGGCCUGAGAGGGUGGACGGGCACACUGGGACGGAGACACGGCCCAGACUCCUACGGGAGGCAGCAGUGGGGAAUAUGGCACAAUGGGCGCAAGCCUGAUGCAGCGACGCCGCGUGAGGGAUGGAGGCCUUCGGGUUGUGAACCUCUUUCGCCAGUGAAGCAGGCCUGCCUCGUUUGUGGGUGGGUUGACGGUAGCUGGAUAAGAAGCGCCGGCUAACUACGUG
rnacentral:rRNA from 1 species